rnacentral:lncRNA from 1 species
CUAACAUGAACAUGCAGUGACAAUGCUAACAUGCUGAUUUUAUGCUUGGCAUGAAAUUAGGCGUCAUAACCUCAAAGUUAAGAAGAUCUGCAAUGAUUUGGAGAGCCCCUCUAGCAAGAUAUUGCAGCAGGUGGAGAACUGGCUCAUAUGCCGUUAGGCCAAACUCACUGAGGGUGCAGAAUCCAAGAUGGUGCAGUUGGAGUCUAUUCGUGUGGCAAAAGAGUUAA